GCAACUCGAGUGCAUGAAGCUGGAAUCGCUAGUAAUCGCGGAUCAGAAUGCCGCGGUGAAUACGUUCCCGGGUCUUGUACACACCGCCCGUCACACCAUGGGAGUCGGGAAUGCCCGAAGCCGGUGGCCCGAUCGAAAGAAGGGAGCCGUCGAAGGCAGGCCGGAUGACUGGGGUGAAGUCGUAACAAGGUAGC
rnacentral:rRNA from 1 species